GACGAACGCUGGCGGCGUGCUUAACACAUGCAAGUCGAGCGGUAAGGCCCUUCGGGGUACACGAGCGGCGAACGGGUGAGUAACACGUGGGUGACCUGCCUCUAGCUCUGGGAUAAGCCUGGGAAACUGGGUCUAAUACCGGAUAUGACUCCACGGCGCAUGUUGUGGGGUGGAAAGCCUUGUGUGGCUAGAGAUGGGCCCGCGGCCUAUCAGCUUGUUGGUGGGGUGAUGGCCACCAAGGCGACGACGGGUAGCCGGCCUGAGAGGGCGACCGGCCACACUGGGACUGAGACACGGCCCAGACUCCUACGGGAGGCAGCAGUGGGGAAUCUUGCGCAAUGAGCGAAAGCUUGACGCAGCGACGCCGCGUGAGGGAAGAAGGCCUCGGUUGUAA
rnacentral:rRNA from 1 species